CUCAGGAUGAACGCUAGCGACAGGCUUAACACAUGCAAGUCGAGGGGCAGCAUAGAAGUAGCAAUACUUGGUGGCGACCGGCGCACGGGUGAGUAACGCGUAUGUAACCUACCUAUCAGGAGGGGAAUAACCCGGCGAAAGUCGGACUAAUACCGCAUAAAACAGGGGCACCGCAUGGUGAUAUUUGUUAAAGAAAUUCGCUGAUAGAUGGGCAUGCGUUCCAUUAGGUAGUUGGUGAGGUAACGGCUCACCAAGCCGACGAUGGAUAGGGGAACUGAGAGGUUGGUCCCCCACACUGGUACUGAGACACGGACCAGACUCCUACGGGAGGCAGCAGUGAGGAAUAUUGGUCAAUGGGCGGGAGCCUGAACCAGCCAAGUCGCGUGAAAGGAAGAAGGAUCUAUGGUUCGUAAACUUCUUUUGCAGGGGAAUAAAGUGCAGGACGUGUCCUGUUUUGUAUGUACCCUGAGAAUAAGGAUCGGCUAACUCCGUGCCAGCCGCUGC
rnacentral:rRNA from 1 species